rnacentral:rRNA from 1 species
UGGGGAAUAUUGGACAAUGGGCGAAAGCCUGAUCCAGCAAUGCCGCGUGAGUGAUGAAGGCCCUAGGGUUGUAAAGCUCUUUUACCCGGGAUGAUAAUGACAGUACCGGGAGAAUAAGCCCCGGCUAACUCCGUGCCAGCAGCCGGGGUAAUACAGGGGGGGCAAGCGUUGUUCGGAAUUACUGGGCGUAAAGGGCCAGUAAGCGGCCAACUAAGUCACACGUGAAAUCCCCAGGCUUAACCUGGGAACUGCGUGUGAUACUGGAUGGCUUGAAUUCGGGAGAGGGAUGCAGAAUUCCAGGUGUAGCGGUGAAAUGCGUAGAUAUCUGGAGGAAUACCGGUGGCGAAGGCGGCAUCCUGGACCGAGAUUGACGCUGAACGGCGAAAGCUAGGGGAGCAAAC